UANGUUAAACCCCUAUAUACCUCU
rnacentral:tRNA from 1 species